AAUGUGUGAGGUGGUGCUAUGUAGCAGGAACCCCUCUUGCUUUGCAAAUAGUUUUUUGUUUGUUUUCCUUUUUGCCCAAUAGAGCCCUGCUCUACUGACCCUUCAAUGUGCCCGUGUGCCUAAAUAUUCCUGGUCGUGUGAAAAGAACCCAGGUAUUAGCUGAACUAAGGAGCACAAUUCUGCAACAUUUUGGCACCCAAACACGGGGCUUGAGAAAUGAAUGCAAUUGGAGAAACUGGUUGUUUUACCAGGCGUUGAUUGGAAAUGUGUGCUUCCCUUUAAGCAGUCAAGCUCAACUUGCAGAACUGAUGGGAACCCCUUGGGAAAACUGGCCUCAAAUGUUUGUCUACACAGUCCACAUACAGGGUUCUUAACCUGCGGUGAGUAAAGAAUGUCACUUUCCAACAGGCCCAGAUAUCAUAUGCUCUUGGGACCUCAAGAAGAGAGGAGUUUACCCAAUUCAUAGGUGUGUGAGGAUAAAAACCUAGGGCUGGGCUCAGCUUUAAAUGGUCUUAUCUGAGAUUCUUUGUGAAACAGAUUUUCAUGAAAGCCAAUCUAGAGGGCCUACGUAGAAAUAAUUGUUUUUGCUGCACUUUAUGCACAUAAUCAAGCCAAUUAUAAGACUAAAGUCUAUAUUGCAAGCAACACACUCCUAUUAUGAUUUGUUUUUAACAGAAAUGAGGACGAGACAGAGAGAAAUUAUGUUUCAAAACUUAUCAUCAUUAGUUUCUAGACUUAUUAUUUCUUUUUAAGUUUUUACCUACAUUUUAGACUGACCCUGCUUGUGCCUGUGAACCAACCAACAAUCUCUGGCUGCAGCUCAGAAAGGACAAAAGAGAAUGGGUAAUGUAAAAACCUGGAUCAGUAUUUUAGUUCUGAACAAUUAUCCUGCAAAUCCUGCCAGCUGAUGGGAAUAAAUAGGAUGCCCAUGAUCCGGAGGUUUACUUUUUGGGAAAGUAAAACCAAGGGAGCUAACCAAAGUAAAACCCCAUACACCCAAAUCUGAGCAAGCAUAACUAUAGCCACCAGUUAUCUGGGUGUGUCACAAGACACUCUUUUCUUUCCUUUGUUGGAGGAGAACUCAUUUCCACAGCUUCACUUUAGCAUUAUGGCUUAUGUUAAGGAGUCUAUGCAACUUCCAUGCUGAGACACGUUUUUGGUCCCAAAGUUAAUUCCAAGCUUUGUGUCAAAGGCCUAAGAAAACUGGAUCUUAGGGAUCCAGAAGCCAGACAAUAAUGAAAGUCAAAAGGCACAGCACAGGUGAGCAUGACUAAUUCCCGCUGAUUAAGCCAAGCUUCCUGUUUCAUGGAUAAAGGUCAUGCUAGUAUCCAUGGCAUAAAUGAGGUCUAGAGAACUAAAAGGCUACUGCCAGCAGGGGAGAUAGGGAGGACAUAAGACAGGGCAGCUAUUCCCAUCCCCUAGACCCCCUGUUAACAUGGAUGAAAGCCACUUUGACACCCAUGGGUGGCACCCUGUCACAGUUGGUGGGACUCAGCAAUACAGGGACAGAGGAAAGAAAGAGGAACAACUCACUUUCUCUCCCUCACACACCCUGAGUAUUUGCUAGAAAAAGAAAGGAACCAGGCACACAUGCUCCCCUAUUUCUAGAUGAGUAGCCAUUCAUCUUUAGUCUGCACCCUUUUAGAACAUGUCCUGAACCCCUGGGACUCUUCUGAAAAAAAUGCCUUCUUUUUUCCUUUUUCUUCCUCUGUCCUCUAUUCACUGGUAGGUAGGUAAUGGUGUCCCAUACCACAGAACACUUCCCUCAGAUGCAUCCUUCUAACUGGGAGGAGUUAAUUUCUCAAACCGUAGACUAAUUGGCUUAGGAUUAGGUUCAGGGGAAGGGAACACAGAAACAUGACAUGCCAGCAAAAGGGUAAAAGGUUUUUUUUCCCCGUUGGGCUUUUGGCCUCUCUCUCCCUGUGCAAACUGGUAAAAGGCGUCUGGAUUUUCUAGUUGUCCUUACCCACUGCUUGUUUCGUUUUGAUACAUAUUUUCUAAUAACCUGUUUGUCUCUUCUCACUUUUAGGCCAUCAAACUCCAGUCUGCACCUGGAGCCUUGGAUGAUGGCCUUUUUUACUGGGAACCCUGAAAUAGGCCUCUGAGGGAAAUCUGAUUGCCAUUUUCCCAAAACAGCUUCCCUGACAAUAGGAAGCAAUUAAGAUUGGUCUUCAUCCUUAUCUUUAUCCUUAUUCUAAUGGCAGUUAGAGGUACUUCUUUAGAGGGGGGAAUGAGACAGCCAAAUGCCUAGGCAGAUAAAAAGGUGUACCUGGAAAAUUUCCAACCCGUCACACAAGUGUUUACAUCAGAUGCUUUUGUGUAGAUGAGGGAAACUUCCCAGGGCUUGUCUGGGUAUGCCCACAGUGGACUGGAGCCCAAAAUGCACACUGGAGGAAGUGGAUGGAGCCACGUGGAUGUCAUGCCUUAUGCAGGGGAGGAGCCUGCUCUCUUCAGCUCCUGUGGUAAUGUGGGAAUCGAUCUGUGAGGAAACACUUUCUGAAAAUGUCAGAACUCUUGAAAACAUGGAUGAGGAAAAGCAUAAGUACUGCUUUAUGCUUUUCUUAUGAAUUUUAAAAGAUGUAAUUUAAAGAUUGAAACUCCCACAACUUUGGCAGACCAACUCCUCAGAAAACAUUAUUCUUUGACAUCAAUAUGUUUUGCACAAAAUUGAAUGGCAAGUGAAAGGCAUCAAAUGGUGAGAAUCUAGAAAAUAGUGCAUGUACGGGAAGGCUUUGCUCAAUACAAAUCACUUGCAUGGGACAGUCUUCUUUAGUGAGUUUAUUAUAUACGGGAACAGAGAGGUAAUAUGAAAUGGAAUAUGGAAUAUGGCACUAGCAAGCACAAAUAUUCAAAUAUGUGGAGGAACAACUGGAUGUGAUAAAACACUAUAAAAAAAAUAGAGAGAAAAAUGACAGUAGGAAAAAGACUGUAUAUAUUUUUUGAGAAUAAAAGAUAGUUUCAUUUCAUUGGUGGACAUGAGAUGAGUUGAUGCAGCAUGCAGGUGGAUACCAUUUUUUUCAAAGAAAAUAUGAACAGAGUCUCAAAUAAAUAACAAAUGUUUAUAUGUGGGUUUCAAGGACAGAGAAUAAUAAAAUAACCAAAUAUACAUAAUGUUCCAGUAAAAUGAUCCAUCAGGGCUUACAGAAAGCGUAACUAGAGAGAGACAUUAACUUGCAGAUGAUUUGUUUCUGGCUAAUGUUGUGACAGGAGUGUAGCAUUUCCUUUCUUCUCAGUUUCCUAUCUCACUUACCUUUUGAAAAGACAUGAUUCCAUAUUAUAUUUAUUCUGUUUCUCUCUUUCUUUAUUCAUUUACCCUACUUUACUGAAAAAUCUCAAACAUCAUAGAAACAUGCAUGUCUUGGUUCUCCAAGUUUGAAAGGAAAAUAAUGUAGAAAGCUCUGUUUUUUUUGCCCUGGCAUUUAUAUACUCUCCAAUCUCACUACUCCCAUAUCACUCUUCUACCUCUCUUAGAGCAAAAUUGCCUCUUAAAAAAGGACAUUGCACCCAGCAUGGUGGCUCAUGCCUGUAAUCCCACAACUUUGGGAAAUUGCGCCAGUGCACUCCAGUCUGGGAGACAGAGCGAGACUCCAUCUAAAAAAAAAAAAAAAAAAAAAGUACAUUGCUGAUUCCAUUUCAGCAUCACUCAAUUACCAUUCUCUAACUGUCUCUGAUUUGUCUUUACCAAAAGCCACAUCUGGCAUAAUUGGCAAAAGACUUUUUUUUUUUCCCCACCAUUCCAAUGAACACAAAAAUGACAUUCUCAACAUCAAAUCAAAUGAUCACAUUUUUAUUCAUAUUUUACUCCAACUGAAAUGAAGGAUAUAACUAAUUUGUCCAUUUUUCUUUAAGCACAUAUCUGUAUUCAUUUUGAUAACCCAGCACUCUUGAUUGUUCCCUUACUGAAUGUUUGUCUCUUAGUAUCCUUUGCCCAUUCUACUCCUUUAAAAAAACUGUUGCAGUAACCAAAGAGUUAUUUUUGAUUCCACUUCUUUGUCAAACUAAAGUCAGCUCUUUGAGGCUUCUGGAUUUUGAUAUUAAAUAUGUGUUUAGCAGUUCAAAUUUUAUAUAUGUAUAUUCUAGCUCAGAUCCAGAAAUCUAUUUCCUUCUUAUCAUUCUCACUUGGAUUCCUCAAGCAAUUUAACAUGCUCUAAAUAUUUCUUCCAUGUUUAUUUAGGUUUCAACUCUACAUACAGAAUAGACUAAUUUAAUAAUUUUAUACAAUCCUUGGCCUUUUACUUUAUAUGAUCUUCUACAUCCAAUAGAAGGUUGUUCAGUUAAACCUUAAAAACCUAUCGCACACUUUUUAAUUCUCUGAAUUUUCAUCAACACCACGGUAGAAACCUCCUCAAUACAGAGUUUUGUAAUAAUUGCUCUUUAAAUUCCCACCAUGAUAUGUUACUAUAUAUUCUGCUCAGAAUGAAAAGGUUCACUAUAAAACAUGGUUUAAAAAAACAAACAUUGAUUUCUCUGCUUCAGGAGUUUCCUUUCCUAUGGUAGAUGAAACUAGGUACAAUAAUUUGUUGUUUGUUUUGGAGAGCUGUCAAGGCAUGCUCCAUGGCCUCUGAAACUAGGUAGAUUGUAUCACAUACACUCCAGACCAACAUACUUGCUACUUUCUGAUUUGAUUGGAUUAACACGAUGUCAACAAUAUAGUGGAACAAUGUGAUAUUCUUGUCAGGUACAGUCUCUUUGGACUAUGUCAGACAAAUGGCAUGAGAGUUAACAUAGUCCUCGAGCUAAUUCAUAAAUGUAUAUUGUUACCAUUUUACAUAAAUGUAAUCGUUGAUGCCCUUAUUUUCUCAGAGGGGUGGGGGAAAAUUGCUAUUCCCACAUUAAUGUCUGUAUGUUAGUGAAUCUGAGUGAGUGCCAAUCUACUUGAGCAAAUAAACAUCUGGAAUAGCAGCUGUAAUUGGAUCUAUGAUUUUCUUGAAUUUGCAUUCAUUUACUUUUAUUCUCCAGAGUGCUUUUGUAAGGGUCACACUGGUAAAUCAAAAAGAGGAUGUAAUGAGGGAAUAUCACCUGUGUCAUUUUUUCAAGAAUAUCCAAUCUCAUAUUUUCCCCUGCCACACAAUACUAUAUUACUUUUGACACAAUAUGUUGAGUAGGAAGCAGCACUUAUUGAUAAUUCUACUUGCCCUUCUUCACUACUGCAGAUCUCACCCUACUAACCAAGGAACAAAUAUGAACAUUUUUUUCAGCUGACAGAAUAUAAUGUUUAUUCCAAUUAUACAUUUGUGAAAAAGGGAAGUGAAAAUAAGUCUUUUGAGCCAGUGGACCCAUUGUAAGCCCAAACUAUGCUAGGACAUUAUUUAUUACUUGAAGUCUCAUUAGCUGCAUUCUUAAAGGUGGAUCUCUUUGUAUCAAUCCUCAAAAUAUCAGGGUAUUAAAACAAUAAAAGUUAAUACUUAUUCUUUGUAUAUUUCUACUGCUGGUCCUCAAGGGGCUCUGCUCAUUGUAAUCAAAUAGGCACCAAAGGUGCAGCAGUCCCCAGCAUCUUUCCCUGUAGCCUUUGUGGUAUUGGGUAUCAGUGUUUGUCACGACGAAGGAGGACAACUUAGAGAAUUGUGCCCCUGCUGUUAGACGGAGUCUGACAAAAUCCAGACACAUAACUGUUUUAUGAGUAAAUUGCCAAUGCCAAUCACAUGAUCUAAAAUUAAUAUGGUGGGUACCAAAGGAGAGGCAGACUAUGUGUGUUAGUGAGAUCUGAUAGUGUCUGCCACAACACUUAAUAAUUUUUGGAGAAUUUUACCAUGGGCUUGACAUUUGAAUAUUCAAUUUAAACUACUUAUUUAUGAAAUAGUUAUAGGAAUAAUUAGGAACUUUAUGGCAACUCUAUGUUUUAAUUAACUUUCUAAGUGGUGAAAGAGUGAAUUAUUCAUAAAUUACUUCUGGAAACAGGACUCUUCUAAAAAGCAUGUAAGGGAACUUGAAGCAGCAUCUCAAUUUGUGCAAUAUGAUAAAGAAAAAAAACUGUGGGAUCCAGAAAACAAUACACAAUUACUUUUAUUUAUGGCUACCAGAACUUCAGGAAACCGACUAAUGUUUGUGCACAUAAUGUUUUUAUUAUGGAUCUAUCUGGGGCAUAUUGAACAUACAGUGCCCUCAAAAAUGGUCAGUUUUACUCAUGCCCAAUCCCAUAUAUUUUUUAGGGUAAUUUUUCUGGUCCAGUUAAGUUAGACCAGGACAUUUUCACUUGACAAAUCUGAGUAAACUUCUCUGGAAAAAAUUGUUUUUGACCAUUCGCCUAGAAUGAAUCUCUGGGUAAGGAAGAUGCAUAUAGUCGUAUAAUUUACUGUAGUUAUUUUGACACCUUUUCUUAACGACACACCACAGAUUUAUUGCUGGAUAUUUUUUUCCUUCCUAAGCCACUUGCCAUAUAGUUCUACUCUUCUCUAGCUCUAGGGAGGCUUCCUCAUACAGACUAGGUCAACAGAUUCCAUUCCACUGGCUCGUGGAUGGGUUUGGCUACCGAGAAGCAGUUAAGAGAAGAUCAGAAUUAUAGGGAGCAGGGAGUAGGAAAAGGUGAAGAAUUUAUUUUCCUGCUUCCCUGCUGAUCCCCUCCCAGGCUCCUACAUGUUGGUCACAUUUCUCUACCAAAUGGUAGUUCCUGUGGGGUUCUUGUAAAUUCACCUUCCUCUUUCCAUAGAGACAAAAGCUCCCUGCUUUCAUUCACCUUCGAGUACUGCAAACUUUUUUUUUUUUUUUUUU
rnacentral:lncRNA from 10 species